CCUACGGGAGGCAGCAGUGAGGAAUAUUGGUCAAUGGACGAGAGUCUGAACCAGCCAAGUAGCGUGAAGGAUGACUGCCCUAUGGGUUGUAAACUUCUUUUAUAUGGGAAUAAAACGUUCCACGUGUGGGAUUUUGUAUGUACCAUAUGAAUAAGGAUCGGCUAACUCCGUGCCAGCAGCCGCGGUAAUACGGAGGAUCCGAGCGUUAUCCGGAUUUAUUGGGUUUAAAGGGAGCGUAGGUGGAUUGUUAAGUCAGUUGUGAAAGUUUGCGGCUCAACCGUAAAAUUGCAGUUGAAACUGGCAGUCGUGAGUACAGUAGAGGUGAGCGGAAUUCGUAGUGUAGCGGUGAAAUGCUUAGAUAUCACGAAGAACUCCGAUUGCGAAGGCAGCUCACUGGACUGCAACUGACACUGAGGCUCGAAAGUGUGGGUAUCAAACAGGAUUAGAUACCCGGGUAGUC
rnacentral:rRNA from 1 species